AUUUCAUUUCAUCUCUAAACAAAAAUUAGUCUCUUCUUCUCUUCCUCUCCUUCUCCGUAUUCACUCCAUCUCCAUUAAUGACCCAGAGGAACAAAUCAAAAGAGGCGGAAUCGGACUAAGGUAUGGCUCCAAUCAGAAGGGUCUUUUGUGAUGAUGAUGAUGAUGAUGAUGAUGGUCAUGCUGGUAACGGUGGUUCUGGUCGAGGUGAUGGUGGUGGUGGUAAGGAGGAUUUGGAGAUUGAGGAGGAGGAGGAUGAACGCAAUGAUGAUGAUUAGGAGGAUGAUGGAAAUGGUGGUGGUAGUGGUGAUAAGGAUGAUGAUGAUGGUAAUGAUGCAGGUGAUAAGAAGGAUGAAGAGGAUGAUUUUACCAUUCUUAAGCUUGUGAGAGAACAAAUGAAUAUUUUUUCCAAGGCACUGUGUUGCUCGGCUGACAAAGGGGAAGUGUUCGAUCCUGACAAACAACGUCGGUACACUUGUUACUUCAGACACGUUGAAAAUACCAAUGCAAAUAAAAUGUUUGCUGAGCUGGCUAAGGAAGGUAAGAGGACCAGGAAAUCACGUAGCCAACUAGGAGAAGAACGUGCUGAACAGGGACAAGGUAGCCAUCAUGAUGAACAAGGCAGUAGAGAAGAUGGUGGUUCCCCAGGGGGCAGUGCAACUCAGGGUCCUUCUAAUAGAAUCCGGAAAGUUAGCCGAUCAGGGAGGUAAAAGGGUUGAGGUGGUGGUAUUGAGUGAGGAGAUGUUAUUGUCGAAAUGAACUUAUGUUUUAUGUUACUUUCGACUUGAACUUAUGCUUAUUAACUUUACUUAGAUGCAACUAUUUUGUGUAUUAGAUGCUAGGGGUUUGGUUUAGAUGUUGAAACUAUUUUGCUUUCUUAAGAUUUUAGAACGUUGUUUAGAAGUUAUUUGUUUAAAUGUUGGCUAGAAUGAAUAAAUACU